rnacentral:rRNA from 1 species
UACGUAGGUGGCAAGCGUUGUCCGGAUUUACUGGGCGUAAAGAGCGCGCAGGCGGUCGUUCAAGUCGCGUGUGAAAGCCCCCGGCUCAACUGGGGAGGGUCACGCGAUACUGAUCGACUCGAAGGCAGGAGAGGGUAGUGGAAUUCCCGGUGUAGUGGUGAAAUGCGUAGAUAUCGGGAGGAACACCUGCGGCGAAGGCGGGUUGCUGGGCUGACACUGAGACACGAAGGCCAGGGGAGCAAACGGG